UGGAAAGUACGGCAAAAGGUUGCAGUAUUCUAGUCAACCCUAUCCUUUUUCAAGACGGGCCUAAAAAUCCGUUAAGGGCACAUCGAUGAAGAUUCUGGUAUCGGCUUGUGACGCCCAGUCAGGGGUCGGUGCUGGGAGUUAAGGGUGCUGGGGCAACCCGCAAAGGCAUGCGGAUACGACCCCACAUCCGUGGAGGCUUGCUUUCAUCCCCAGGGAUGAAGCAAGAAAACCUGCAUACCGGUAAUACUGGGUGCAGUGUAGCCUGCCUUGAGUGGAGAUAGCGGAUAAGCUUAUAAGGGUUAUAUUACUUGGGCCAAAGUAUUAUAGCUCGCUUUGAAAUUAUCGUCUGCAAAAGAGGCUAGAAAAGGAUGUGGGUUGUUGAGGAAAACUCCUAGACUGUGUGCAUAACCGCACGGUUUAUCGAGGAUUAAAGUGUGUACUUAGUGGUAAUCCAGCCCCAUGUACGGUGACGACAUGUAGCAGUCGUAAAGGGAAACCGCCCAUCUGGCAACAGAUGGGUGAACUGCGGGGAAAACCUGCUGGACCUAUGUCACAGCGUUUACUCGGUAAAUAACCUUUUGCCUUAUUCCGUUU
rnacentral:sRNA from 1 species